rnacentral:rRNA from 1 species
GAUGAACGCUAGCGGGAGGCCUAACACAUGCAAGCCGAGCGGUAUUGUUUCUUCGGAAAUGAGAGAGCGGCGUACGGGUGCGGAGCACGUGUGCAACCUGCCUUUAUCUGGGGGAUAGCCUUUCGAAAGGAAGAUUAAUACUCCAUAACAUAUUGAUUGGCAUCAAUUAAUAUUGAAAGCUCCGGCGGAUAGAGAUGGGCACGCGCAAGAUUAGCUAGUUGGUGAGGUAACGGCUCACCAAGGCGAUGAUCUUUAGGGGGCCUGAGAGGGUGAUCCCCCACACUGGUACUGAGACACGGACCAGACUCCUACGGGAGGCAGCAGUGAGGAAUAUUGGUCAAUGGGUGCAAGCCUGAACCAGCCAUCCCGCGUGAAGGACGACUGCCCUAUGGGUUGUAAACUUCUUUUGUAUAGGGAUAAACCUACCCUCGUGAGGGUAGCUGAAGGUACUAUACGAAUAAGCACCGGCUAACUCCGUGCCAGCCGCCGCCGUAAGAC